UGUCGCUGAAUGUGAGAUUCAACGCGGUCGACUAUUAAUCAUGGUAUGUACAAUGCACACCAAGUGGUAACAAUAUAUUAUACUGUGCAAGUAUUGUUAAAUGAUAUGGAAAUGGGAGUUCGCAAAUAAUGGUGGCAAUAUAAACUCACCUUAUACCAAACUGUUCGUGCGUAUUCCUUGCAACCCACUUACACACGUGUGUUUCAUUAUAUGUUACUUAUGUUCAACAAUAUGACAAACUGUUGCAUGCAUCGGUAUUUGUGAAACAAUGAAAAUCGGCUGAUGUAUGGCUGUAAUGUCAAUUUCCAAAACAAAGAGAAAAAAAAAUCGACCCAGCAGCAGCAGUUAACGUUCUUGAAAGUGGCGGAAACGGUUUCCACCCGGUGACCGACUGAUCGUCCUCGUCAGUGGCCAACAGGUGGCCGCUAAAACAAAACAACAUCGCGCAUCAUCCGGAAGGUUCGGCAACGAGGCAUGAGGUGCACCGUCCGCCCACGGCAUUUCCUUGUGCGCGGUUGCGCUUCCAACGCCAGGGCAAUCAAGUAUGGAUUGACCUUCCCUUGAUUGAAUCCCCAAUUAUACUCUAGCGGCUGGAGCUUCGGGAAUUCCGUGACUUCUCCAGAAUCCUGCUGACAACGACACGCAAGCUUGAAGCUGGAGCAGAAAACGACAUUUUUUGGCAUAUCGGACAAUAUAUCGGGUGAUGGAGUCUAUUACGGAGUAUUAAAUAAAAUUGUUCUAUUAAUUCUUAUUUAAUUCGCUUCUUGUUUCUCUCUUCAUUACUUUAUAUAUGUAAUACGGAAUGCAGUUAUUCUACUAUGAAGAACUAUAAAUCAACAGUAAUACAUACUGUAUUCGUUUUUCUUUCAAGUUUAUGGUCAAACUGUUCCCCAACCAUUUGCUAUGCAAUGAAUCGUCUGAAAAACUGGAUAGUAUAUCGACCAUAUUCUUUACUGUAUUGCGAAAAAUUUGUUCGGGAAAAUGAGCGAAUUUUUAUGGUAACCUAUCUUAACCGCCUAUUCCACAUACUGUAAUUUGGCGGCUUACCAUUUGUCAAACGGGCAAAUCUGUACGUGGUAUGGUUAUCUUACUGUUGUCUCGGACAGUUUGAGAAAUGGUUAAAUGACAAUUGCUAAUAGUCAUCAACAGUAUGAGAAACGCUGCAUUUACAGUUAGUGGUUAUGCGGGCACAGUGCAUAACAACACAUACAUGGAGUAGUGGUUAGGCACCGACUUUCAACGAGGAGAUCCCGAGUUCAAAUCUCAGUAAGUAAAAAACAUCAAACAUUAUUUCAAGGUAUUAGUCAAUUUGGAUUCCACAUGAACUAAUGGUUCUUAAUAAUAAAUUACUUUUGUGGACUAAACAAUUUUUUUUUCAUUUUCUCGAAGUUUAUUUUUAAGCUGAAUAGCGUUCCUUUCAGCGACACAAGUGUACUUUUUGUGAACUGAAGUUCGGUUAAUUACUUAAAAAGUGAGCUGAAUAGAAUGCUAUUCAUAUACCUUCGAAUAGCUGAUUAAGCCCAAACAUGCUAUUUUAUCCGAACUUUUGGUUGCUUGGGUAGUUAUCCAAAGUUUUGCUCAAACAGCAUCAAAUUAGGCAAGGAAUCGUAAUACCCACGCUUUUUGAACCAUUUCAUUGCAGAAACGGAGAAUUGACCUUCUCACCAUACUAAAAUUCAGCUCAUUACUACAAAUCUAGUACUACACCAAACGUGCCCCAUUGCAUAAAA